AAUAUUGCACAAUGGGGGAAACCCUGAUGCAGCCAUGCCGCGUGUGUGAAGAAGGCCUUCGGGUUGUUAAAGCACUUUCAGUAGGGAGGAAGGUAGUGUAGUUAACACCUGCAUUAUUUGACGUUACCUACAGAAGAAGCACCGGCUAACUCCGUGCCAGCAGCCGCGGUAAUACGGAGGGUGCGAGCGUUAAUCGGAAUUACUGGGCGUAAAGCGCAUGCAGGCGGCCUGUUAAGUCAGAUGUGAAAGCCCGGGGCUUAACCUCGGAAUUGCAUUUGAAACUGGCAGGCUAGAGUCUUGUAGAGGGGGGUAGAAUUUCAGGUGUAGCGGUGAAAAUGCGUAGAGAUCUGAAGGAAUACCAGUGGCGAAGGCGGCCCCCUGGACAAAGACUGACGCUCAGAUGCGAAAGCGUGGGGAGCAAACAGGAUUAGAUACCCUGGUAG
rnacentral:rRNA from 1 species